UGCCAUGGCUGAGGAGUUUCAAGCUAGGAUUUGUGGUGAAAACUGGUGGAGUAGUACUAUUGAUUCAGCAAGAACUGUCUUCCCUAUAAGCUCAUCAUCGAUUUCUUCUUCUCCUUGUUCCGUGGCAGCUAAUAAUGAUGCAGGAAUCUACAGCACUCGGCAAACAGAUUUGAAGGCAACCAAGUGUUGUGUUGAAGAGACUAACAAUUUUGUUUCUAACUCUUACCUGGGUUUUGUUGAUGCACAGAAGGCACCCAAGAGUGAAUCAGCCAGUGGAAGUGGUGGCAUGUUGAUGGAUUCCACCAUACAGAUGAUGGGUUUUGGCCUCACAUCUUCAACAUCAGAGAAUUGGAAUCAGCCUCUAUUAGUG
rnacentral:lncRNA from 1 species